CUACCCUUGACAUGUCAGGAAUCCCGGAGAGAUUUGGGAGUGCCCGAAAGGGAGCCGUAACACAGGUGCUGCAUGGCUGUCGUCAGCUCGUGUCGUGAGAUGUUGGGUUAAGUCCCGCAACGAGCGCAACCCUUGUCAUUAGUUGCCACAUUCAGUUGGGCACUCUAAUGAGACUGCCGGUGACAAACCGGAGGAAGGUGGGGAUGACGUCAAGUCCUCAUGGCCCUUAUGGGUAGGGCUUCACACGUAAUACAAUGGUCGGUACAGAGGGUUGCCAACCCGCGAGGGGGAGCUAAUCCCAGAAAGCCGAUCGUAGUCCGGAUUGUUCUCUGCAACUCGAGAGCAUGAAGCCGGAAUCGCUAGUAAUCGCGGAUCAGCAUGUCGCGGUGAAUACGUUCCC
rnacentral:rRNA from 1 species